rnacentral:tRNA from 1 species
UGUAAAAUAAGCUAAGCGAUAAGCUAUUGGGCUCAUACCCCGAAAAUGAACUUAUGUUCUUUUACAG